GUGAGUCCUAGUUCGCAAAUAUUUAUCGAACUUCUGCUUGUGCCACUUUUACUGAUGUCCCAGUGGACAGAGCCAAUGACAUGGUGCGUGCAGCCUCAGCAGUGGAGGGGACUGCCCAAGAACAUGGAUACUGGAAGCACAAUUGUAACACCUACCACAGGCAUCUUAGACUGCAGUGGAAUCUCCCCCACAGACAAAACAUGCCCACCAUCAGCCAGGACCCCAAAGUCUCAUCCAGUCGUGGUAUCAGGCUUGAAGUCCAUGAUCUUAUGAUCUUCAUGAGGCCCCAAUGUGGAAAAAGAUCUUCAGCUCAAACACCAGCUCCUCCAAAACACUCUGCUCUGCGUCCACUGCUCCUACCUGUGCAUCCUCCCACUGACUCAGAUGGU
rnacentral:lncRNA from 1 species